rnacentral:rRNA from 1 species
UACGUAGGGCGCAAGCGUUAUCCGGAAUUAUUGGGCGUAAAGAGCUCGUAGGCGGUUUGUCGCGUCUGCCCGUGAAAGUCCGGGCUCAACUCCGGAUCUGCGGUGGGUACGGGCAGACUAGAGUGAUGUAGGGGAGACUGGAAUCCUGGUGUAGCGGUGAAAUGCGCAGAUAGUCAGGAGGAACACCGAUGGCGAAGCAGGUCGUCUGGGCAUUAACUGACGCUGAGGAGCGAAAGCAUGGGGAG